UACGGGGGGGGCAAGCGUUGUUCGGAAUUACUGGGCGUAAAGCGCGUGUAGGCGGCCCGGUAAGUCCGCUGUGAAAGUCGGGGGCUCAACCCUCGAAUGCCGGUGGAUACUGUCGGGCUAGAGUGCGGAAGAGGCGAGUGGAAUUCCUGGUGUAGCGGUGAAAUGCGCAGAUAUCAGGAGGAACACCAAUUGCGAAGGCAGCUCGCUGGGACGUGACUGACGCUGAGACGCGAAAGCGUGGGGAGCAAACAGG
rnacentral:rRNA from 1 species